rnacentral:tRNA from 1 species
GCGGUAGUUGUCCAACCGGCAGGACACCUGCCCUCCAAGCAGGCACAGACGGGGUUCAAGUCCCCGCUACCGCU